UACGUAGGAGACGAGCGUUGUCCGGAGUUACUGGGCGUAAAGGGUGCGCAGGUGGCGGCGCGCGUGGGGGGUGAAAUCGCCCGGCUUAACUGGGCGGGGGCCUUCCAGACGGCGUGGCUUGAGCAGCGGAGGGGGACGUGGAAUUCCACGUGUAGCGGUGAAAUGCGUAGAGAUGUGGAGGAACACCAGUGGCGAAGGCGGCUCUCUGGUCUGUAACUGACGCUGAGGCGCGAAAGCGUGGGGAGCGAACAGG
rnacentral:rRNA from 1 species